rnacentral:rRNA from 1 species
GUAGGGAAUAUUGGUCAAUGGACGAAAGUCUGAACCAGCCAUUCCGCGUGCAGGAAGAAGAUUCUAUGGAUUGUAAACUGCUUUUAGCAGAGAAGAAACGCCUUCAUUGAUGAGGGUUUGACGGUAUCUGCGGAAUAAGCACCGGCUAACUCCGUGCCAGCAGCCGCGGUAAUACGGGGGGUGCAAGCGUUAUCCGGAAUCACUGGGUUUAAAGGGUGCGUAGGCGGGAAAUUAAGUCAGUGGUGAAAGUCUGUUGCUUAACGAUAGAAUUGCCGUGGAUACUGAUUUUCUUGAAUUGGGUUGAGGUUAGCGGAAUGUGACAUGUAGCGGUGAAAUGCAUAGUUAUGUCAUGGAACACCAAUUGCGAAGGCAGCUAGCUGGGCCUUGAUUGACGCUGAGGCACGAAAGCGUGGGUAGCGAACAGGAUUAGAUACCCUAGUAGUCC